rnacentral:rRNA from 1 species
CACGCAGAAGACUAGUGUUAUUCAUCUUUAAUAGGUAUAAAGGGUACCUAGACGGAUUAUCAAGCCAAAGUAAGGGACUAAUUUUCUAGAGUUUUAUGUAAGAAUGUCGAAUUACUGGAGGAAAGUCAACAUUUUUUGAUACCAGUGAGACGGGUAACAGCGAAGGCGCUAUUCUAUGUUUAAACUGACGUUGAGGA